AAGUCGUAACAAGGUUUCCGUAGGUGAACCUGCGGAAGGAUCAUUACCGAGUUGAUUCGGGCUCCGGCCCGAUCCUCCCACCCUUUGUGUACCUACCUCUGUUGCUUUGGCGGGCCGCGGUCCUCCGCGGCCGCCCCCCUCCCCGGGGGGUGGCCAGCGCCCGCCGGAGGACCAUCAAACUCCAGUCAGUAAACGAUGCAGUCUGAAAAACAUUUAAUAAACUAAAACUUUCAACAACGGAUCUCUUGGUUCUGGCAUCGAUGAAGAACGCAGCGAAAUGCGAUAAGUAAUGUGAAUUGCAGAAUUCAGUGAAUCAUCGAAUCUUUGAACGCACAUUGCGCCCUUUGGUAUUCCGAAGGGCAUGCCUGUUCGAGCGUCAUUACAACCCUCAAGCUCUGCUUGGUAUUGGGCACCGUCCUUUGCGGGCGCGCCUCAAAGACCUCGGCGGUGGCGUCUUGCCUCAAGCGUAGUAGAACAUACAUCUCGCUUCGGAGCGCAGGGCGUCGCCCGCCGGACGAACCUUCUGAACUUUUCUCAAGGUUGACCUCGGAUCAGGUAGGGAUACCCGCUGAACUUAA
rnacentral:rRNA from 1 species